GCUUGUCUCAAAGAUUAAGCCAUGCAUGUCUUAGUGUAAAUAACUCUUAUGAAACUGCGAAUGGCUCAUUAAAUCAGUUAUCAAAUACGUGAUGGUCGCCUACUACAUGGAUAACUGUAGAAACACUAGAGCUAAUACAUGCUAAGACCGUAAGGUUGUAUUUAUUAGAUAUACCGAGUAGGUGAAUCAUAAUAACUUCGCAAAUCGCAGUAAUACUGCGAUAAAUCAUUCAAGUUUCUGCCCUAUCAUGCUCUCGAUGGUAGUGUAUUGGACUACCAUGGCUCUCACGGGUAACGGGGAAUUAGGGUUCGAUUCCGGAGAAGGAGCCUGAGAAACGGCUACUACAUCUAAGGAAGGCAGCAGG
rnacentral:rRNA from 1 species